AUUAAAGCUUUGAGAGAUCAUCUUUGUAUUUCAUCUUUCGACAUUAAUAAAGUCUUUACUCCAUCUUCGCCCGUGGACGUAGGCCGUUGGCCAAACCACAUUAGUCUCAGUGUCCUCUAUCCUUUUCUUUUCUUUUCUUGCAUUAAGUAUUAUUUCUGUAUCUAUUUUUCGUCGUUCCGAUUUUAACAAAUUGGUAUCAGAGCCUUUCUAUUCCCUUUGAGGAUUAAGAUGACGACGAAGUUCGAGAUCUAGAAAUUUGACAGGACCAACAGUUUCGCAUUAUGGUACGUCAAAAUACGUGCUAUAUUGACGCGAUAAGGAUUGCAGAAGGUACUGUUGAGAAAAGAAAAGAUGUCUGAUUCUUUGACAUCGGAACAGAAGGAGGAGAUCGAUGACAAAGCUCU
rnacentral:lncRNA from 1 species